UUGAAUUGUCAAAGAAGAAGACGGCUUUGAUUCUUUUUUUCUGUGACAAUGAACAUCUUACUCUUGGUUGCAGUUACAAUCUUCUCUAAUUUCUCCGUCUGUGUUAAAAUUCUCCAGCCUCAGUUUGUAUUCAGCCAUGACAAAGACAAAAGUGUGACGCUGCAGUGUGAACUAGAUGAUAAUCAAUAUUACUACAUGUUCUGGUAUAGACAGAGAAACAGUGGGGAAUUAAAUCAGGUGGCAAGUUCUCCUGGAAAAGAUUCAUCGAACAUUGAGGCUCCUUUCAAAGAAGACAAGUACACCAUGUCAAGGCCGACACUGCUCAGCUCCUCUCUGCAGAUACACCCUGUUGAGGCUGGAGACUCAGCUGUGUAUUACUGCGCCUCUAGAAUAGCACAGCGGUUCAGAGAGCCUCAGCAGCUGAACAACAACCUCAGAAACACACCAAGAAGAGACCAGGUGGGGGGGCGACGAAAAGAGGCUAGAAAUUAAUUGGUUCUAGUUUCUCAGUUGUGAUUAGAAAUAAAUGAUGUCCCUCCUUUUAGGAUUUAUAACAGACACUUUAUAUUAUAUUCUAACAUUUGAGGCAGCAGUGGCUCAGGAGGUGAAUUGUGUUGUCCACUAAUUGGACUGUCAUUGGUUCAGUUCAGUUAACAUUUCAGAAGUGAAACAAUUUACAGAUUAACCGAGAAAAUAUCCUCUGCUUUUUGCUGUGAUAGUGAAGAUAACCCUUUAGUUUAUUAAACAAGCAAGUUUCCAUUAAUCCUGCAGAAUGUACAAGAGCUGCUGCUCCACGCUUCAGUGAUACACACCACAGAGCGGAUCAAUUCAGAUUAGUGAGCAGGUGAAAAUACGGUGGAGGUUGAUUUCAGUGCAUUUCACCCUGAACAGGAUCAGGUUUAAGUGGAGAUCAAACACUGACCUCUACAGGGUUCACGUGAGACUACAUGUGGGUGAGGUAGUAAAUAUAAUGUACUCUAUUGUGAAAUACUGCAAAAUCAUUUAAUGAACCAGCUGUGAAAUUGUGUGGAUAUGUUGAAUCUGUACAAAUAUUUGCCAUAGAAAAAGGGGACCGACUCAUUUGACAAAAGAAAAGUAAUGACCUGUUGAAGAUAGUUAGAAGAUAUGUUGUUUAGAUGCUGCUAUAGAUAUGAUUUAACUUGUAAAGAAAUGAAAGUUAUGGAAGUUAAGUUAGACAUUAUCAGUAGUGUUGUACUUCAUCAAGAUAUUCUGAUUUAUUUCUAUAAAUAAAAAGGUGUUAUGUCAACUGAGCCGUCAUUAUAUAGAAUAAUACAUUGAAAGCCAAAAGUUGAAAACUGCACUUAAAGACAUAGAAGUGCUUCAUAGAGCUGAAGGCGACCGGAUUGGCUUUUACUAGUUUCUAAAUUUCAAGCUCGACAUUAGAAGACAAACGAGUAAUUUGAGGCUCAUCUGUAUCAGUCACAUCAGUGAAUGUUCUUUCGUAUUUAUACGUCUCUUCUCAGAUAAAUGGGUGGAUAAGGAGGUGUGACCAUGUAUGAUGUCACUUCCUUUGAGAGGCUAAAAUAAACACAACAGACAAAACAGUUCCCUCAGAAAUCGCUUCUUUUCUUAGCCGACACAGAAAUAGCAGCAGUCAGACUCUUUGCCGUUCAGCUGUCAGUGAGUUCAACCUGUACAGCUGCUCUCAGAGAGAAGGAGCAUGAGAUAUGGAGACGCUGGGUGGGGGUGGGAAACAGUGAAGAAAAACGACAUUAUGUUUUUGUGUAGUGUUUUCUCACAGUGGGGACAGGGGGCCACGGUGAUACAUUCCCAUAGAGCCGCCGCACAAAAACCUCCUCCCAUUGACACCCAUUGUGUAGAUGGCUGUUUGUAACCUGGGGCUCUCGAUGGAGGAGAAAACAUCAACACUCUGAAGGAGACAGUCAGUGUGACACUGGAAGUGAAGCCUACUUUGGAAAAGGAACAAAACUGACUGUUCUGG